rnacentral:rRNA from 1 species
CAACAGGGAUUGCCCUAGUAACGGCGAGUGAAGCGGCAACAGCUCAAAUUUGAAAUCUGGCUCUUUCAGAGUCCGAGUUGUAAUUUGCAGAGGGCGCUUUGGUGUUGGCAGCGGUCCAAGUUCUUUGGAACAGGACGUCACAGAGGGUGAGAAUCCCGUACGURGUCGCUAGCCCUCACCGUGUAAAGCCCCUUCGACGAGUCGAGUUGUUUGGGAAUGCAGCUCUAAAUGGGAGGUAAAUUUCUUCUAAAGCUAAAUACUGGCCAGAGACYGAUAGCGCACAAGUAGAGUGAUCGAAAGAUGAAAAGCACUUUGGAAAGAGAGUUAAACAGCACGUGAAAUUGUUGAAAGGGAAGCGCUUGCAGCYAGACUUGUUUGUAGUUGCUUAUCUAGGCUUCUGCCUAGUGCACUCUUCUGCAGACAGGCCAGCAUCAGUUUGGGCGGUUGGAUAAAGGUCUCUGUYAUGUACCUCCUUUCRGGGAGGCCUUAUAGGGGAGACGACAUGCAACYAGCCURGACUGAGGUCCGCGCAUUUGCUAGGAUGCUGGCGUAAUGGCUGUAAGCGGCCYGUCUUGAAACACGGACCAAGGAGUCUAACAUCUAUGCGAGUGUUUGGGUGUCAAGCCCAGACGCGUAAUGAAAGUGAACGGAGGUGGGAACCCUUUGGGUGCACCAUCGACCGAUCCUGAUGUCUUCGGAUGGAUUUGAGUAAGAGCAUGGCUGUUGGGACCCGAAAGAUGGUGAACUAUGCUUGAAUAGGGUGAAGCCAGAGGAAACUCUGGUGGAGGCUCGCAGCGGUUCUGACGUGCAAAUCGAUCGUCAAAUUUGGGCAUAGGGGCGAAAGACUAAUCGAACUAUCUAGUAGCUGGUUCC